rnacentral:rRNA from 1 species
UACGGGGGGUGCAAGCGUUGCUCGGAAUCACUGGGCGUAAAGCGUCCGCAGGUGGAGAGGAAAGUCGGUCGUGAAAGCCCGAGGCUCAACCUCGGAACUGCGAUCGAAACUUCCUCCCUCGAGUUCGGGAGAGGGGAGCGGAAUUCCUGGUGUAGAGGUGAAAUUCGUAGAUAUCAGGAGGAACACCGGUGGCGAAAGCGGCUCCCUGGCCCGAAACUGACACUCAUGGACGAAAGCGUGGGUAGCAAACAGG